rnacentral:misc_RNA from 1 species
GGGUCCUUGACGGGAAGC